rnacentral:rRNA from 1 species
ACGGAGGGUGCAAGCGUUAAUCGGAAUUACUGGGCGUAAAGCGCACGCAGGCGGUUCGCCAAGUCAGGUGUGAAAUCCCCGGGCUCAACCUGGGAACUGCGCUUGUGACUGGCGGGCUGGAGUACGGCAGAGGGGGGUAGAAUUCCACGUGUAGCGGUGAAAUGCGUAGAGAUGUGGAGGAACACCGAUGGCGAAGGCAGCCCCCUGGACCGAUACUGACGCUCAUGCACGAAAGCGUGGGGAGCAAACAG